GGCCUCGUAGCUCAGCUGGUAGAGCGUGUGCUGUAAAAAAGCGUAGGCGGCGUCCAUGCAUGGGUUCCAGUCCCACUGAGGCUA
rnacentral:tRNA from 1 species